rnacentral:rRNA from 2 species
AACCAGAAGGCGCAAUGAAAGUGAAGGCACGGUCGCCGUGCCGAGGUGAGAGCUGUCUCUACGGCAGCACAUCAUCGACCGAUCCCAUCCGCUCCCUCGUGGUGCGGCGGGAUUCGAGUAAGAGUGUACCUGUUGCGACCCGAAAGAUGGUGAACUAUGCCUGAAUAGGGUGAAGCCAGAGGAAACUCUGGUGGAGGCCCGUAGCGAUUCUGACGUGCAAAUCGAUCGUCAAAUUUGGGUAUAGGGGCGAAAGACUAAUCGAACCAUCUAGUAGCUGGUUCCCUCCGAAGUUUCCCUCAGGAUAGCUGUAGCCCGAAGCAGUUUUAUCAGGUAAAGCGAAUGAUUAGAGGUAUCGGGGAAGAAACUUCCUCGACCUAUUCUCAAACUUUAAAUAGGUAAGAAGUCCGACUUGCUCAAUUUGAAGCCGGACACAGAAUGCUGGGUUACUAGUGGGCCAUUUUUGGUAAGCAGAACUGGCGAUGCGGGAUGAACCGAACGCUGAGUUAAGGUGCCAAAGUCGACGCUCAUCAGAUCCCACAAA